CCUACGGGUGGCAGCAGUGGGGAAUAUUGCACAAUGGGGGAAACCCUGAUGCAGCAACGCCGCGUGAGUGAAGAAGUAUUUCGGUAUGUAAAGCUCUAUCAGCAGGGAAGAAAAUGACAGUACCUGACUAAGAAGCCCCGGCUAACUACGUGCCAGCAGCCGCGGUAAUACGUAGGGGGCAAGCGUUAUCCGGAUUUACUGGGUGGAAAGGGAGCGUAGACGGCUGGGCAAGUGAGAAGGGAAAGCCCGGGGCUCAACCGCGGGACUGCUUUUGAAACUGUGUAGCUAGAGUGCAGGAGAGGUAAGUGGAAUUCCUGGUGUAGCGGUGAAAUGCGUAGAUAUUAGGAGGAACACCGGUGGCGAAGGCGGCUUACUGGACUGUAACUGACGUUGAGGCACGAAGGCCAGGGGAGCGAAAGGGAUUAGAUACCCUGGUAGUC
rnacentral:rRNA from 1 species